rnacentral:piRNA from 1 species
GGCAAUGGCAAAGAAUGUGGUCAGGCUGU